ACAGAGAGUGCGAACGUUGUUCGGAAUUACUGGGCUUAAAGAGCACGUAGGCGGCAUCGUAAGUGUCAGGUGAAAUCCCACGGCUCACCCGUGGAACUGCCCGGCAGACUGCGAUGCUCGAGUGUGGUAGGGGAGAACGGAACUCCUGGUGGAGCGGUGAAAUGCGUAGAUAUCAGGAGGAACACCGGUGGCGAAGGCGGUUCUCUGGUCCACAACUGACGCUGAGGUGCGAAAGCUAGGGGAGCAAACGGGAUUAGAUACCCCGGUAGUCCUAGCUGUAAACGAUGGGCACUAGCUUGUGGUCUCCCUGUGAGAUCACAGGUGAAGUAAAAAUGAUAAGUGCCCCGCCUGGGGAGUAUGGUCGCAAGGCUG
rnacentral:rRNA from 1 species